UACAGAGGUCCCAAGCGUUGUUCGGAUUCACUGGGCGUAAAGGGUGCGCAGGUGGUCGGGUAAGUCUGAUGUGAAAUCCCGCAGCUCAACUGCGGAAUGGCAUUGGAUACUAUUUGGCUAGAGGGUUGGAGGGGGGACUGGAAUUCUCGGUGUAGCAGUGAAAUGCGUAGAUAUCGAGAGGAACACCAGUGGCGAAGGCGAGUUCCUGGACAACUCCUGACGCUGAGGCACGAAAGCUAGGGGAGCAAACAGG
rnacentral:rRNA from 1 species